rnacentral:rRNA from 1 species
CAGAAGUUGGCCGUCUUGGAGUCUGGUAGAGGAGGGGUACAUUUCCAGGGCAAGCCGUGAAAAUGAGAAAAGUUUGAAGGGAAUACCGAAGGGGAAUCCGACCCCUUGUACAAAGACCUGCCGCUCAGGUGCGAAAGGAUGGGGAGCAAACAGGGAUAGCAUCCCCUGGAGGUCUCCCCCUAAACGCUGUCUCAUUAGAGGUUUGCCCCCUGAAGCGUGCCUCCCGGACUAACGCGUUAACUAGCCCUCCUGGGGAGAACGGCCCGCAAGGUUAAAACUAAUAUGAAUUGACGUGGGACGCACAAGCGGUGGAGCAUGUGGUCUAAUACGACGCAACGCGAAGACCCUUCUCUGUUCUUGACACCCACAGAAGAAGCAAGAGAUGGAUUUGUUCCUUCGGGAACUGUGAGACAGGUGCUGCAUGGCUGUCGUCAGCUCGUGUUGUGAAAUAAUGGGUUAAGUACCGCAACGAGCGCAUCCCUUAUCCUUUGUUGCCAGCGGUUAGGCCGGGAACUCAAAGGAGACUGCCAGUGAUAAACUGGAGGAAGGUGGGGAUGACGUCAAGUCAUCAUGGCCCUUACGACCAGGGCUACACACGUGCUACAAUGGCGCAUACAAAGAGAAGCGACCUCGCGAGAGCAAGCGGCCCUCAUAAAGUGCGUCGUAGUCCGGAUUGGAGUCUGCACCUCGACUCCAUGAAGUCGGAAUCGCUAGUAAUCGUGGAUCAGAAUGCCACGGUGAAUACGUUCCCGGGCCUUGCACACACUGCCCGUCACACCAUGGGAGUGGGUUGCAAAAAC